rnacentral:rRNA from 1 species
UGUGUCAGCAGCCGCGGUAAUACGGAGGUGGCAAGCGUUGUUCGGAAUUACUGGGCGUAAAGGGCGCGUAGGCGGUUUGGCAAGUCAGAUGUGAAAUCCCCGGGCUUAACUCGGGAGUUGCAUCUGAAACUGCUUUUCUUGAGUCCUGGAGGGGGUAGUGGAAUUCCCAGUGUAGCGGUGAAAUGCGUAGAUAUUGGGAGGAACACCUGUGGCGAAGGCGGCUACCUGGACAGUGACUGACGCUGAGGCGCGAAAGCUAGGGGAGCGAACGGGAUUAGAUACCCCGGUAGUCCUAGCCGUAAACGAUGGACACUUGGUGUUGGGGGUAUUGAGUCCCCCGGUGCCGGAGUUAACACGUUAAGUGUCCCGCCUGGGGAGUACGGUCGCAAGACUGAAACUUAAAGGAAUUGACGGGGGCCCGCACAAGG